UUAAUUGCUGCUUCAAUUUCUGUGCUUGAUAUUGGUCUGGUCAGCAAUUCUAUUUUUUUCUGAUUGAGCCUAGGUAUGUUCUGUGUAAGCAUUUGGAACUUGAAACUUUUCUCUAACUUUAAGACUGUUUCCAAAAGUUAAUCAGAAAUAAACAAAUGAAGGAAUGAAUGAUCAGAAAAAUGAAAAGCCUUAGGCAAAUUUUAUUUCUCCAAGAAGAAAGAGUCAUAUAAAUCAGUGCUUAAAAUUAAAAUUAUAAACAGCUAACAUUUUGGCAGUCUGAGGAUGUAAAACUGGCUUUCAUUUGCAAGACCUACUUAAAAGUCUUUCACAUUGUAUAUUUUUUUUUAAAAAAAAUUGGCACAUAUUUCCAUGAUGCUUUCUAAAGAAUGUCUUCAUUUAGAUUUGACUCAUCAGUGAAUCUAGAGAAGAAGCUCUUCCACAGGAGAAUAUCCAGCAGCAUCUGGAAAGGAAAGACAGAGUAUUCUUUACCUAACAGAUUUCAUUGGAACUAAGUGAAAUCUCAGUAGGAAGAAGGACCUCGACCAAAGAGUGAGCACUGGAGGUUUUGGAGGUUUGCAGGAAGAAAAGCUGUGAAAUAUUAAAAAAAAAUACCGUGGGAGCAUCACCAGACUAGAGAACAUGUUAGAAUUUGGGGGCAACACUGAAUACCUUCAUGAAGUUACUGGUCAUGAGUCAAAGUGAGACCAAAGCUUAGAUACCCUAGCAGAAAUCUUGUCUGGAUGAGAUGCUGGUGGUUGAUCAUUAGAUUCAUCACCUAGCCCAGGGCUGUUGGUUGAUGCCUGAGACCCAUGGAGGAAGGGACAAAGAAUCAUAUGUAAAAAAGCAAAAGAAAACACUGCACCACUAAAAGCUUUGAAAUGUUAACACUACUUUUAAAGCAUGUAAACAAAAGAUGAGAAGAUGACCGUCUCUCCCCAUCCCACUGCUCGUCAUGGAGCACCUCAAAGAAUCUCCUGCUUUGGCACUGGUGGAAUUUUCAGCCUUACCAGGUGAAAGUGGUGGUGACCUGAGGAGGAUUAUGGAACCUGUGAGUGUGCACAAGCAGGAGGACACUGCUGGACCCACGAAGAGGAAAAGGAUCAAGAUGUGAACACCAUGUGGUGACUGACUAGAACGUCUCACCACGAAGGUCCCUCUGAGAGUUCCCAGAAGGACCUGAAUGUAGACUCUGUCGAUAAAAGAUUCAUGAAGGUUGGCUGUGGGAGGAGGAAUUCUAAACACAAACCUUGCUCUGGCUGGUACAGAAGGGAAAGUCAAAAAGAUUUAAAGCACAAGUGGACCUGACACAUCACUGCUUGCUUGAAGACAGAAGAAAACCCAUGAGAUGGAGUGCAGAUAGUUAUAAGAUGCCAAGAUUGGACCUUGGCUAACACCCAGCAAAGAAAUAGACCCCAUCCCUAAAACUGUGAGGAACUGAAUUCUAGCAACCUGAAUGAGCUUGGAUGCAGACUUCUCCAUAGAGCCUGCAGACAAAAAACCCACCUGGAUAACAGUUUGAUUUCAGUCUUCUGAUACCCUGAGCAGAGAAUCCACCCAAACUGGGAGCUCUUUGUUAAUAAAUGAGUGUUGUUUUAAGCCCCUAAA